rnacentral:lncRNA from 1 species
UGGAGGUGGACAAGAGCCUGAGCAAGCAGACCUGGAUUUGGCACCGGUUCUGGCCUCACUGUCUCUGAGCUCAGGGGCAGGUUUGGCUAUGUCUCUGCAUCUCAGUUUCCCCUUCUAUAAAACAGGCCAGGCCUGGGAUGGGGAUUUAGCUCAGUGGUUUUGCCGCCUGCUGUGCAGUCGGAAGGACCCGAGUUCAAUCUCCGGUAACAAAAAAACCCCCAACAAAACAGGGCAGGGCUGAGUCCCUUGAGAGGUGCUGUCCUCCUCUUUAACUGCUGCAGGUCAAGUAGCCUCGAAGCAAGUCCAUGUGGUUGGAUACAAGGCCCAGGUCCCUGUCCGUGGCCAUGUAUGAAGCUAUUUCAGAAAUGGGUCCUGCUCUGUUAAGCCUCCGGACAACAGCCACCCCUGCCAACCUCCUGACUGCAAACUCAGGGCGCUGGUGCCACCAGCAGUGAAUAACAGAAUGAGACAGGAGAAAAGGGCUCAAGGCUCCUCAACAGUUUGAAGAGAUCCAGACUCUUAAUGUCUGCAGGACACAACAAUAUUGUGCUGUAAGGGCCAGUGCAGUGGCCUGGCUCAUCCUUGAAAGCAGGCUUGACACUCACCUCUGCAUCUCAGCUGACAGCCACGGAGCAGUGCUUGCUUCACAACAGAUUGAUGAGGCUGGGACUGCCUAGCUCGGGAGAUCCGUGCCCAAGACCAGACAGCCUCAGUCCUCAUCACUGCUGCCGCCGCCCAGGGACUUCAUGGUGCUGACCGGAGGGUUAACAACAGAAGGUCCCCAGAUGCCCCAGCCUGACAGUGAUGAUUCCAAGGCGGAAGAAGGGAGGGCUGUGCGGACGGCCUGGGCCUCCCUGUAGCACCCAGCACACUGCUGUGAGGACACGGCCUUCCCCAGACCAACCCAAGCAGACAACCCUUACUGCGAGUGCCUGGGAGCCCACGUGCAGCGCAUCAGUGUACAACCCUGCCACCGCGGCGCCCUUCUCCCGCUAGCUGAACACCCCAUUUACCUGGAGGAGACUCCUCUGGAAUCUACCUCCCCUGCCCAGACCUCUCUGUCGGGACAUCGUCUUGUGCCAGUGUGGUUCCUAGAACCAGCUGAGAAGUACACCUAGGAGCACAGAUGGGUAGAGAUCUUUGGCCUCCUCCACAGGACAUGGAAGGGAUCCGUAUCAUGCCGUGGUCAGUCUGGUUGUCCAGUGACUGACAUCCUCGGAGAUGAGAUAAAACAGAUGCACAGUUUCAUCCAUGGACAAAAUCUCAACACUUUAUUCAUCCCUUGGCAGGGAGAGGGGGGCACUGCCCAGUCAGGUGGGGUGGCUGGGAUAUGUGUUGUCUAAAUUCCAGAUAGUAUACACAGCACUGAUCAUGCAGAAACAGGAAGGGAAGCAAUAAGUUAAAAGCCACAUAAGUUAUGAAAAAAUAAUAUAUACUUUAUAUAUCUCAUCCCACUGAGGAUUUGCUCCCUUGGAAACCAAUAAAGAGCCCGAGAGAAAGCAGCAAUCAGCACCCUCUUUGGGGACAUCAGGGAUGAACAGCUGG